UGCCGAGGAUGACAUCUUAGAAUCUGUUGCUGAGGAGAUCAUGGUUAAUUUGUAGUCAGGCCUUGAAGCUUUUCAAGCAGGAGCUUCUGGCAGCAGGGGCACUCCAAGGAGGUAGGAGAAAGGAGAAACAAGAGAGAGAAAAUAGUCAUUAGUUCGUCAAUGGAGGAAAGGAGCAGUAGCUCCAUUUUCCUUCUCCCACCGCAUGUCCUGAGAAAAGAAGGUCCUUUGUCUAUCCUGGAGUAAAAGUUCCGAAGCCCAAAAGGGACACAGAUAAAGAAGAGACUGUUCUGAAGGAGACUAAGCC